UUUUAGAGAGUAUUUUCAGAUAUAAUUCUGAGUUUUUGUUGUGGAUCAGUAUUUAAAAUCUCCUUAUGAUUUGUGAUUCAGUUUAGCUCAUAAUUAUUGUGUGUGUUUUUUCUUUCAUUUCCUCCAUAGCUCUUCAUCUCUGGAGAAGCCGGAAUUAAGCAAUACAUAACUUUGCGGGAGGAAAGUACUUGACUAUGUUGAAGUUUCAACUUUGGGCAAGUGUCAAGCUGGAGUAGAGAUAUCAACACGGACGGAGAGUAAGGCUAGCAACGAAUGCCAGCUCUUUGGAGCUUGUCUUAAGUGCUGUAUUGGAGAUUGAUGCAUUUAGUAAUUGUAUUUUGCAGUCAUCUUUGAAGACCAAAACAAUUCAAUGACUCCCCAUGAUUUUAAUGAAUUAUUUGGUUACGUAGAAUCAAUAUAUUUAAUGAGUCAUUAUGUUAGGCUCGCACGCAGCACGGACAACACCUAUCUAGUAAAUCAAGAA